rnacentral:lncRNA from 1 species
CCAAGCGGCGUGGUGCUUUUUUUUUGUUAUUUUCUGUAGGGCAAGCUGAAGAACAGACAAACAAACUUCACCAUAUUCUACACAAUAUUGUGAUGUGGCAUACAUAAAUAUUAGCUUUCGCAAACAACGAACGCACAAAGGCCUGAAACAGACUGGAAGCAGCAAAAAAUAAAACCAUGGAAAGAACAGGACAACCUUCUUCGCAAUUGGAAACAGCUGCCAGUCUUCGUCGUACAGCUUCAGGCUCAGAAAAUCAAGUCUUACAGAUGCUUCCACAAAUAUGCAAGGCUACAAGGCAGCUUCUGCAACCAAGAGUCCUGAGACAACCAGAUCACGGGCAGCUGAAGGCUAUCCGUGAUUAAGUUAUGUUGAAAUGGAACUUUCCAAACUGUGUUGCCGCUAUCCACUAAAAACAAAUUCAUUUGAAGG